CCACACACUUGAGGCCUGCACCACAAGAUGACGGCCGUAGCAGCAGUCGCGGCCCUGGCCCACCAUGAGUAGCGGAUCGUGAGGGCCUUUGAGCAGCUCAAGGAGCAAUUCUGGGCCAAAGUGCAGCAGAGAGAAGAGAGGUCGGCAGCAACGGAAAGUCCUCGGCAUGAGCUUGCUGGCACAGCUCCUGAGCAGAUGCCUGCCAUGAUCCAUGUAGAGCUAAUAUUCCACAGGUUAUCUCCACUCAAAAUCCCAGGGAGGCUCAGGAACAAGUAUUACAAAUCCAUAAAGCAAUAAUUACAGCAGUCAAGACAAUCCACGAAUAUUCCAAUAUAAAUCCCAAUGACUGGAUGACACACAGCAUCAGGAGCAGAACUGAACUUUUAAUCCACACAACCUUCUUUUAAAGCUUUCUCCCAUGCAAGGGAGGGAUUCACAUUAAUUAGUACAGUAUCCAAUAGUGUAACUGUUACCUCCCACACAUCUCCUCCCCUCAGUGUGACACAUAAUACACAUAAUACACUUAUACAUACUGUAGUUUUACCCGAUUUCUGGAUGUACCCCAAAACAGUCAGGUAGAAUUAGCCCUGAUCUGUGUGACAAACAUAUUAAAAAUUCACCCAGAUCAGACCAGGGGUUCGGGAAUUAGAUGGAAGGUGAAUUUUGACCAACCGCACAUGAGGUAGUAUCUGAAAAAGGCUCCAUGUGUUUUGGCCUUGCAGUCGGUCUCCGUUCGGGAGUUAAAAUACACAGAAAUACUUGCCAUCCACAGCUAAUCUUACAUUCGUAUUAAUUCCCUUGUUCGGGACAUUUAUUUUACUGAACGAGGGGCUGGUUGGCCCCUCCGUUCGUGAGUUACGGAGCUCUGGAGGUCUCAGCUGUGUUCAGGUGUUUAAGUGUCCGAUUUGAGUUCCAGACACUCGACGACCAAACACUGCUGAGAUUUUCUUGCGUAAGAUGGCCGCCGCCACGCGGUUCGUAUGCUGAACCACACAGAUACAUACAAAGUAACGAUUUUACGGUCAAUUAGUUUGUGGUUACAGAGUGUACAAAGCUUAAUGAGGUGCACACUUCUCGCUGGGGUGGUCUGAUGGUUCGAUAUUUUCAUUCGUAUGAAAAACGGAAUGAAAACUACCGAACAAUUAGACGAAAGCUACAUUCAAUACUGCUAAACAUGGCCAUAAUUACACAAAAUACAUUUUUAACAUGAAUUCUUGAGGAUAGCCCAAUGCCAUCCGCUACAAUCCACACCGCUGCAGUGCCGGCAGCGAGGAGGAGAAAGAAGCGGAGAGGGCCUUGAUUAAGGAGAUGUGGCCCAAAGACAAGCCAACACUCAUCUGGGCAUCAGUCUAGGGAGGAAUCCCUAGACCCCGCUCACAAUUCCGGGAGAUGACUGCUGAGCGUGCUGAACGUGGGAGUCGGCAACCCGUGGGCAUAUCUCAUGACUCCGGUGAAUAUGGCCAGAUCAGUAAGGAACAGGAACUGAACAGUGUUGGAGCCUGGGGCCAGUGUCGCAACGCUAUGGGGGCCUGGUACACCAAAACCCCUCAGAAUAGGCAAUGCUGUUUGGUGGGAAUAGGCUGAGCAUUCUACCAACAUUAAGGCCCUGGGCACCAUGCUUUCUCUGGGCUCACUUGCUGACCGAACAAGCUAUAUCCAUAACAGGGAUACAUGUCUGGAGGAUCACACUAUAGAAUCUGAUGGGCAAAUCUGCAGAGACCUUUCUGAACUUCAUCGCCGGAAUGGACAACAUGUUAUCAGCAAAACUGUAAAAGCCAUUUCAAACGGUAAAAGCCAGUUCAAACUCCAAGCGAGAUCAUCA